CACUCUCUCUCUCACACACACAUGCAUGAGGAACCUUGCUUGGUGUGGCAUUUUUAACAGCUGACUUUGUAGAAUAGGUAGGGCAGAUGCACAUCAUUUUGGAGAUGGAGGGACUGAGACUCACAGAGGACUUAAGUGAAUUUUCUGAGACUAUAGUAUAUCAGGGGUGCAACUAAGUCUUUUGACUUCCAAUGCAUGUCUUUAAACGCCUGCCUCUUACCCUUGACGAGGUAACUAGGAAGACCAGGUGCAGGUCUGAUAAAUGCCUCAUUCCAUUUUCAGAGAUGCUGAGGUCUAGAAGGCUUGCCAAGACCACGGUCCAUUCCCCAGGGCUCAGGCUAUGCUGCCUCUGCAGUGAGAUGACGGGACUCCGUAGAGCCUUUGCAGGUUUGAACCUGAACCAUUCAGCAGAACAAGAAAUCAGGAGGUGGACAAGCCAAAGCAGGUGCUGCCCCUCCAGACAGUUAUCAAGGACUCAGGUUCCUUCUAGCCUCCUGUUUCACCAGCCUUAGCCUGAAGCUUUUGUCUUCAUUUUCUCUGGAUGGCAGCUUCACCUCCAAGCAGAAAAAAAAGGGAAACUCAAAAGGUUGACAGAUUCAUCUUCCACAGGCUGCAAGGCCGAAGAAGGAGGUGAACACCUGGGGGUCCAGUAGAGGAAUGUCGACUGUGCAGUGUUUUCUCUCCGUAUUUGGUGAAGGAGCCCAGGAUCAAGCAACUUGCCUGACCUUUCCAAAGGAUCAGAAGAUCAAUACCUUGAGGGACAUCUAUAAUUCCAUCAGCUGGGAAG